rnacentral:rRNA from 1 species
UACGUAGGGGGCAAGCGUUGUCCGGAUUUAUUGGGCGUAAAGAGCGUGUAGGCGGUUUGGUAGGUCCGCUGUGAAAACUCGAGGCUCAACCUCGAGACGCCGGUGGAAACCAUCAGACUAGAGUCCGGAAGAGGAGAGUGGAAUUCCUGGUGUAGCGGUGAAAUGCAUAGAUAUGUCACAGAACACCAAUUGCGAAGGCAGCUUACUAAAGUACGAUUGACGCUGAGGCACGAAAGCGUGGGGAUCAAACAGG